CAGCCGCCACGGUAAUACGAAGGGGGCUAGCGUUGUUCGGAAUUACUGGGCGUAAAGCGCACGUAGGCGGAUAUUUAAGUCAGGGGUGAAAUCCCGCAGCUCAACUGCGGAACUGCCUUUGAUACUGGGUAUCUUGAGUAUGGAAGAGGUAAGUGGAAUUGCGAGUGUAGAGGUGAAAUUCGUAGAUAUUCGCAGGAACACCAGUGGCGAAGGUGGCUUACUGGUCCAUUACUGACGCUGAGGUGCGAAAGCGUGGGGAGCAAACAGGAUUAGAUACCCCGGUAGUCCCUGUCUCUAUACC
rnacentral:rRNA from 1 species